AUGGCUUGAAGCUCGGUCACCCAAAACCCUAAAUAUCUCUUCCCUCCACUAGCAAUCCCUCCCUUCAUUUUCUUCUUUCCCUUUCUCUCUCUAGCAGCAGCCACCCUCUCACUUCUCUCUAAACUUUUUCCUUCGUCGGCCGCUUUCUCCUUCUCUCUCACCUUCCCCGCCACCGGUGGCUUGAAGUUCAAUCAGCCAAAACCCUAAAUAUCUCUUCCCUCCACUGGCAAUCCCUAGAUCUAACAAAAAAAAACUUGAAUCUUUCUCUCCUCUUUGCCGACGGGUUCUUGAUCGGUGCAAAGAGCUCCAAUUUCUCCCUCCUUUUCGGUGUUUACGUUAACUUUUUUGGUGAGUUCUUGGACCGGAUCUAAGCCUAUUUGCCAAGCGUGAAGUUCUGAUUUUGCCAAGAGUAGACCAUUGUUGUUGCCGAUCUCUGUGCGUUGCUCACUUUUUUCGGUGAGUGCUUGGACGGGAUCUUGUUGCUGAGCCUAUAUACAUGCUAUGUAAUUGAAGUUUGUUUAUGAAUGAAUUUCAAAACUGUUGAUGAC